UACCGGCUGGGCUUUUGUUUGGGCUUGUCUCAUGUUUUGUUUUCGGCUCAGCAAGAACCUAAGUAUAGGAAAACAUGGGUGUUCUUCGUUGUUCUUCCUUCGGCGGAUACGGUGACGAUCGGUUGUCCUAGCCGUUUCUGUAACUCAGCCCGUUGUGAUUUCACCAUCUUUAAGCCCAUUAAAUCGAGCGUUGUUCAGUCGGCGAUAUCGUGUAUAAAUAGAUUCGUAUCUCACUUAUGGGAAUCGUGUUCUCCACAUCUCUCUCUUACUCAAAUCUUAGAUCUCAUCUCUCUUAAUGGCUAACUCGGUGGUGUUUUUUUCCGACUUGAAGUCCGGUAAAUGUUCAUCGAUGCCAGGCUGCUGCGAUUCUGGGAGGCUAGGAAUGUGAAGCGCGGUGGUGAGCUAAUGUGGCUUGAUUUGCUCCUGGUGGAUGUUAAUAAGAGAGAAAUCUUUCAUGAUUCGGCUCCACUGUUGUGGCACUCUGUUGAAUCGAACUAUCACAAUAACACUUUAGCGGCUGGGAGUGGGAAGAAGACGAUGCAAGAAGUUCUCUUGAACAGGCAGAUAUGAUUGCACAUCAAUGGAGGAAAGCUUAAGAAUCCCUGAUUCGUUGAAAUUCAAUAAUGAUGCAUGUACUAGGAUCAACUCCAUGAUCAUCCCAUGCUGUGAAGACUUGAUAGAGCCCAAGAGUGAUCACAGUCACAAGGUCAUAGAGAUCACAAACAUCGCAUGGAAAUAUCUUCUUGAUGAAAACUUAGAAUGUUCCUUGGUGCAAACAGGUGAAUGAAGCUUCGUGUUCAACGCCCAUGAAAAGACCAAACGACAUACCAAGCAUUGAGUCCACUGAGGAACUUAGAAUUCAAGCAUCUAAGACUUAUCGAGAGCGUUUCAAUUUUCAAGAUGGGAAACUGUUGAAGCAGGCCAGUGGUGAUGCAAAGCAGCAGCACCAGCAGCAACAACACCUUACACGUGCUUCCUCUGUUUACUAAGCAGCUGUAUCGGAUUCAAGAUCUCCCUUCUCCCUGCUGUUAACUGAGACCAAAGGUUAUUAUUGUGUCACACUCUACAGAGAGAAAAUUGUUGCAUACAUGUCAACUUAUUUUUUUCGUGGAGGUAGUUUGAGGAUUUUACAAAGUCGUUAUUUGGUUAGUUAAGAUUUGUAUUGUUUAUUAGUUGGAACCAAAUAUAUUAUUAUCUUAUGAAUCAGUAUAUUAUGAGUCA